GGGGGAGCAAAGAGCUAUGCCAUGUCGGGAGAUUUUACUGUCACAGGGAUUGGGAUCACAAGGUAAAUUCCCCAUGAAGGUAGCCCACUCACGCGACCUCCCCUCUCUCUCGUUUCCUCUCCCAUGUAGCCCGCCGCCGCUAGCGUCGCCAGCGGAAGAGGAACGGGCCGCGCUCUCCCACGCAGCCACGCCAACGUCGUCACGCCUUGUGGGAGGAGAAGGUGACGACGACGACGGUUCGAUCUGUGGUCUGCCUCGGCAUGGCAUGGGAGGCAACGGAUCGAUCCGGUCAACCCAGCGUCGUCACGCUCAAGGCCGUCCGCGGCAGCUGCAAAUUGAGGCGGCGACUACAAAUCGAAGGAGCUGAAAGGGACAGACUACCGGGAAGUCAGGGGCUACAUAUCCUUCCUCUCCUUGAUUUUCUCUCCAAAAUCAGAGGUAGAGAUGCUGAUGACUACAAAACUGUGCAAUCUUGGCCACCGGUUCCUCCUCGAGCUCCGAACACCUCUUCGUGCGCGGCGACCGAUGCAGCGUCGCCUCCAUUGCCGUCACCAUCUUCCCAGCCGUGGCGUCCAGGAGCUCGUCGUCGUCCUCGUUCGACGCCUCCGCCUUUGAGGCCAAGAGGCUCUGCCUCGAUGCCGACGCGCGGGCCGACACCGCCGUGAGGCUGAGGGCAUCACACGCAACCCCCGCCACAUCCACCACCGCAUCUCUAACUUCGAUGUCGCAAUCGUCACUGCCGAUUUGAAAAGGAGGAUAACAAUGCGCCGCUUCAUCACUGAGUUACGGAGGUUGGGCGUGUUGACGGAUGCACAAUGCGUGAAGACCCUAUAGCAAUGUGGCAUCUGCGGAUGGAGAUUGCUAGCAAUUCUACUGGUGGUUGAUUUUGGCGGGUGGUACAAACUUGAUUCAAAAUCUGCAGGCAGCAACUCUUCUCAUAUGAUAGAACACUCUCAAGUAUCAUUGCUGAAAGAUGUCAUUGUACCUUACACACAUUUGCUCCCUACCAUGCACCUAUCAGAAAAUAUGGAUUGCCCCACUCUUCUGUACUUGAAGGGAGCCAAACACAGACAUCAGGGUGGUUUGUUGCGUGAAAAACUGUGGGACUUGAUGGUUAAUGAGCCUGAUGUUAUCAUGGAAGAAGGUUUUCCUAAUGCCACACGACAUGGGCAAUCAAUUAAAGGGAUGCGGGCAGUGGCGUAGGCAGCCCUGAGCCACGCCCCGGGCCAAUAGUCAGUGCUACAGUAGCUACAGUAGCUAAACUGCUACAAUUACCAAAAGAUAUCAGCCACACGCCCCGGGCCAUGGCCCCCCUAGCCUGGGGCCUGUCUACGCCACUGGAUGCGGGUAUCAGAGUUGGCCGAUGCAACAUCACCGAUUUGGAAGGAGGGGUGCAAAUCUGAGGAUGGAUUGAUGAUAUAGUUUUUAAACUGUGCUUGCUGAUAAGAACUACUCUACAUGUUUUUUACAGGUUAAUUGUGAGGAUGUUGUGCUUUAGAGAAAUGAUUUGCAUGUUGCAAGCUUGUAUUUCUAUAUAGCAAGCCACAUGGCGCUAGCAACUCGAUCUGCCAUACCUAGGUCGACGACGCGGCAGCCUCCAUUGCUGUGUCCGGAGGCGAGGAGGGGGAGCAGCCGCUCCCGGACGAGGUCGUCUUCGGCACCUAGAUCCUCUUCAUCAAUCUUUCCCACCUGGACGAACGCACCAUCACCUCUUCAGAUCACAUCACCCUCUUUCUUUCCUUUUCUCUUCAUUCCUCUCUGUUCCUCUUACGUUUCUCUCCUUGGACCACUCCAGAAGGUGUCAAUUUGUACUAUUUUUUCUUGUUGCCUUGUACAAUCUGUCAAUCAUACACUCCUGACCUGUAUGUAUGUGCUGGCUGAUUAAUUUGUGCAAUACAAAGGACAUAUUUAACACAAUACAAGAGGCCAUGGCAGACCAAUCUUGCAAUUUCACCUUCCAUUUGAUAUCUCUGCUCUAAGAUAAGAUAUGACACACAUCUGCUUGGAAAUGGAGGCGGUUUCGUCUUGGUCUGUGUCUUUGUCAUCCGAAACAUUCAAGCCACUGUAACAUGUUUCGUAAGCAAGACCUUAAAUCGUGUUUCCGGAUCUGUCUCAACAAGGAUAUGAAAGAAUUACCAUCACUAUAGCUGGAUAUCAUACAUGAUAUUGGGGAUACAUACUUGCUAUGGUUUUCCCAUUAUAAGGGGAGCACGUCCAGCUAUCGUACGAGAAGAAGUGCGCGCAGCCAAGGACCCAGGAUGCCAGUGGUGUGCAGCCGUUCGCAUCGAGAGGACCAAGGCUGCCAUCAGGGACCUCCGAACCAAGCUCGACAUCUCCGCCGCCUCAUUGACUUCUGCGACGACUCAUCUGAAUGUACAUGUAUUUAUUAUAGUGUGCUCGAUCUGUCCCCCCAAAAACCCUGAUGCUGCCUGUGUUUGAUCAAUGUUUCGUAUUUCGGUGUUGUAUGUACAUGCUGGCAAAGAUGUGGUGAGUCAUUGGCGACGUGCACCGGGUGAUGAAGCGCACAACAAAUGAGGUUGAGGUGAGGCAUCAGAGGCAUGCCAGCCAACAUGUGAGGCAAUUCCUAUUGUUGUAUCUUCUGUCGCCAUGUGGCUAGAUGCUUCUGUCGAUUGAUGGCAUUUUAGUUUCUUUCUCACGUGGUGCAUCAGUAUAAUAAGUUUAUGAAAAAUUGCAUGUAUGUGUUAUCUAGACCCAAAAGAAAAAUUGAAGGGGCGUUUGCACUGCUCAGUACAUUCUCUGAAUAUGUUGCAUUUGCACUGCUCUUUGUAAAAUAUAAUUUGUACUAUGAAGUACGCAAACUGACAUAUGAUCUCUUAUAAAAUACAGACUGAACCUGAGCCAAUGACCUAUCCUUAGAG
rnacentral:rRNA from 1 species